ACGAACGCUGGCGGCGUGGAUAAGACAUGCAAGUCGAACGAGAGAAUUGCUAGCUUGCUAAUAAUUCUCUAGUGGCGCACGGGUGAGUAACACGUGAGUAACCUGCCCCCGAGAGCGGGAUAGCCCUGGGAAACUGGGAUUAAUACCGCAUAGUAUCGAAAGAUUAAAGCAGCAAUGCGCUUGGGGAUGGGCUCGCGGCCUAUUAGUUAGUUGGUGAGGUAACGGCUCACCAAGGCGAUGACGGGUAGCCGGUCUGAGAGGAUGUCCGGCCACACUGGAACUGAGACACGGUCCAGACACCUACGGGUGGCAGCAGUCGAGAAUCAUUCACAAUGGGGGAAACCCUGAUGGUGCGACGCCGCGUGGGGGAAUGAAGGUCUUCGGAUUGUAAACCCCUGUCAUGUGGGAGCAAAUUAAAAAGAUAGUACCACAAGAGGAAGAGACGGCUAACUCUGUGCCAGCAGCCGCGGUAAUACAGAGGUCUCAAGCGUUGUUCGGAAUCACUGGGCGUAAAGCGUGCGUAGGCUGUUUCGUAAGUCGUGUGUGAAAGGCGCGGGCUCAACCCGCGGACGGCACAUGAUACUGCGAGACUAGAGUAAUGGAGGGGGAACCGGAAUUCUCGGUGUAGCAGUGAAAUGCGUAGAUAUCGAGAGGAACACUCGUGGCGAAGGCGGGUUCCUGGACAUUAACUGACGCUGAGGCACGAAGGCCAGGGGAGCGAAAGGGAUUAGAUACCCCUGUAGUCCUGGCAGUAAACGGUGCACGCUUGGUGUGCGGGGAAUCGACCCCCUGCGUGCCGGAGCUAACGCGUUAAGCGUGCCGCCUGGGGAGUACGGUCGCAAGAUUAAAACUCAAAGAAAUUGACGGGGACCCGCACAAGCGGUGGAGUAUGUGGCUUAAUUCGAUGCAACGCGAAGAACCUUACCUGGGCUUGACAUGUAAUGAACAACAUGUGAAAGCAUGCGACUCUUCGGAGGCGUUACACAGGUGCUGCAUGGCCGUCGUCAGCUCGUGUCGUGAGAUGUUUGGUUAAGUCCAGCAACGAGCGCAACCCCUGUUGCCAGUUACCAGCACGUGAAGGUGGGGACUCUGGCGAGACUGCCCAGAUCAACUGGGAGGAAGGUGGGGACGACGUCAGGUCAGUAUGGCCCUUAUGCCCAGGGCUGCACACGUACUACAAUGCCCAGUACAGAGGGGGCCGAAGCCGCGAGGCGGAGGAAAUCCUGAAAACUGGGCCCAGUUCGGACUGUAGGCUGCAACCCGCCUACACGAAGCCGGAAUCGCUAGUAAUGGCGCAUCAGCUACGGCGCCGUGAAUACGUUCCCGGGUCUUGUACGCACCGCCCGUCACAUCAUGGAAGCCGGUCGCACCCGAAGUAUCUGAAGCCAACCGCAAGGAGGCAGGGUCCUAAGGUGAGACUGGUAACUGGGAUG
rnacentral:rRNA from 1 species